UUCAAUUAAUGAGAAUCUUAUACCAAUUUAAUUUAAUUUUAUCCAAUAUAAUAGUAAGUUUGAAAAUCAAUAAACUACAUUAUAAUGCAUUAGUUGUAACAAUUUAAAUUUUUAUGGCUCUUAGAGUUUUUUAGAACAUAAAUUCACUCGCACGUAUAUGUAAGAGUUUAUAAAUGAUAUAACCCUAGUCAUUUUAGUAUAAAAU
rnacentral:lncRNA from 1 species